AUGCUGCGAGAGACUGAAGAACCGCCUGUCAGCCCAUCUGCAUGGUCAAGGAUGGCACUGGGGUUGUGGCUCACCAAUGAACCUCACAGCUGCCUCCCACAAGGAUGCUUCAGGGUUGUCCAAGUAUGGCAGGCUCUGCUACAGGUAUUGCUCCACUCUGCUCCUGUCCCUCAGCAGCUGGAGACAGCACAAGGUCAGGGGGUUGGCACCAAGACUCCCUGGAGAGCCAGACCUGCCCCUCCGCCCAGGACCGGCCUCCUCUUCCUUCCUCCUCAUGACUUCCAGUGGCCUAUGGCUGCUGAGAUCCCCCCAGUCCUUCUGCCAAGGACCAGCCAGGCCAGAGACCCCUUCAGCAUCCCGGGGGGCAGCAAGAGCAGAGGGGCCUGGAGCAGAGCCCAUCGCGGCUGGGACUCUGGCUGGAGCAAGUGGGUGAGGGGCACAGCUGUGUGCCCUGCACACUGGGCAGGGGGGCCAGCCCUCAUCCAGCCUUGGCCCCGGGGGCUUUGGUGUUGUCCUUACCAGGUACUCCCCAAUCUUCCACGUCUCCCCUGUUCUGGCCAGUUGCUUGAGCUCCCCUCACUUCAAGAGCUGUGCAGCACUGAUGAAGGCUUACUGAGAGGCCUGCACAGCAGCAGAGACCAGGAGAUGCUACCACAGCCAGGGAAGGACAUCCUGGGUCUGCCUCGUCUUGGUAAGGCUUGGAGCCUUUCCCAGCCCAGAAUGGGAAGAUGCAGCUUGGGACCAGGUCUGCCUCUUGCUGAAGGCAGAUACAGCUCUGCCUUGUCUUUGGGGACACAGGAAGUUGGACCUCAUGCUGACAUGCAUUCAAAGGGACACUUGCCAGCAGCCCUUGCCAUGGUGCUCAGGCCCACUCAAGGGAUGUCAGCAUCGCUUCCCAAAAUCACUGCUCCGUACCUGGGCCACUCUCUGGAACUGCUCACUCAUGUGGAGGAAGAGUGGGACCAGGCUCUUCUGCACAUGCUGCUUCAUCCACCAUUUGUUCUUCCCCACCACAAUCUCCAUCAGGUCUUUGCAGAGGAGGAUGGAGAGCUCUCUCACUGUGCUGUCUUUCUGUGGGGAGGGAGGAGAGGAGGGGAGGCCUCAGCAAUGACUCCAGGAACCGGGCAUGAGAAGAGGGUUUGCUGUUGCAAGGCCUUGUCCUCCCCAGGCACAACUGUCCCUCAAUCCAGCCGGAUACUGGAGCUGGGGACAAAAUUCUGCGGAGGCAGCCUGGAGAAUGAGGGUUGUCGGCAGCAGCAGGACAAGGUUCCCUGGGCUCUGUCUCCCUCUGCCUCUGGAGGGAACUUUCUGGGGCUCCAUCAGGGCCCCCACGCAGAAGAGGAUGACAGAAAGGGACAGCCCUGGGGCACGGCCCCUCCCUUGCUCUCUAGCCUGCUCCUGCCUCUUUGCUCUUCUCUACCCCAGGCCAUGACAAGUGCCACAGGGAGUCAAGCAUGA
rnacentral:lncRNA from 1 species